CGCAGUGCGGCCCGCCGCCUUAGUCUGGUUGCUAAGCAACCUCCCUCGCCGCUUUUGGUAAGCAAUUCUCCGCCUCUGAGUGUAGGCGACCUUCCGGGAUCGCUAUUCCCAGCCUGCCUGAGAAUUUAGCCAUGUGAUACCUAUUGCUGGAACUGGGCUGGGGACGAGCUAAAUAACUGUCAGUUGAUACCUGUUCCUUGCCGUCUCAUCCUGCGCUUGAUCAUCUCCUAUCUAGUCUGGAACACAGAGGUUCAUUUAAUUGAUUGGCAAGAAUUCAGCUUCAACAUUCAAAGUGUUUUGCUCUGUCCUUGUCUGUGUGCUCCAGGGCUCCAAGUCAAAAUAAAAAAUAUAAAAAGAAGGUUGGAAGACAGUUCAAGGAAAUUGUUCAGGAAAUAGACAAUAGACCUAGGCCUGGACCAAAGAAAAGAGAAGAAAGUUAGAGAUUCAACCCCGAAGUUUUGACCUCUGAAGAAUGAUGUUCCAGAAAAAGGCACUCUUCCGGGAACUUGAGAUCCACGAAUGUGGUGAUGGAGGCCACAAUCAGAGUGUGGCUUCCACGAGCAAAAGAACACCGAAGAUUGCUAACAAACCACCAGAAGCUGGGAGAGAGAGCAGAGAGAGGCACGGAACAGAUUCUUCCUCAGAGCCCUUGGAAGGAACCAACACUGAGGACACCUUGGUCUUGGACUUCUGGCUUCCAGAACUUGAGAGAAUAAGUUUCUCUUAAGUCACCCAGUUUGUGUUUUAUUGAUGCAACCCUGGGAAACGAAUACAGUAUGUCUUUAUUUUCA